ensembl:snRNA U6 U6 spliceosomal RNA
GUGCUCACUUGGGCAGCACGUAUACUAAAAUUGGAACGACACAGAGAAGAUUAGCAUGGCCCCUGCACAAGGAUAAAACAAAAGAGCUAAACUAAACGACCCUUUCCU